CGCAAGUCUAUCAGCAUUUUCCUUUUGUUACUGAACAUCUGGCUACUUCCCUUUGUGAUUGGGAAAAGAAACAGUACUCUUAAAAAUCUAGAUGUGAAAGGAAACAAUACUUUAGGAAAAAUUCAAAAUUUGAAAAGGAAUAGUACUUUUGCAAAGCUUGAUUUAACACUAAAUAGAAAACAGUUGCUGGGUAGACAACAACUAAUGAAAGAUUUAGUAAUGAGUCCCACGGAAAAUUUAGAUUUGAUCAAUCACAUGGAAUUUAAGAAGAAUUGCAGUGGAAUUGGUAUGCCAUGUCAAGUCGCCGAGGAUUGUUGCACUUUUCUGUGCCUAAUCCGCUUCAAAGAGUGUGUAUUUUAACUUGAAAAUAAAUAAAAUAACAACUGUUAACAGCACCUGUUGUGAAAAUUAAUCUGUUAACUAUUAA
rnacentral:sRNA from 1 species